UACGGAGGGAGCUAGCGUUGUUCGGAAUUACUGGGCGUAAAGCGCACGUAGGCGGCUAUUCAAGUCAGAGAUGAAAGCCCGGGGCUCAACCCCGGAACUGCCUUUGAAACUAGAUAGCUAGAAUCUUGGAGAGGUCAGUGGAAUUCCGAGUGUAGAGGUGAAAUUCGUAGAUAUUCGGAAGAACACCAGUGGCGAAGGCGACUGACUGGACAAGUAUUGACGCUGAGGUGCGAAAGCGUGGGGAGCAAACAGG
rnacentral:rRNA from 1 species